UCCAGCAAUGGCCGAGUGGUUAAGGCUUUGGACUUAAGAUCCAAUGGACAUAUGUCCGUGUGGGUUUGAACCCCACUCCUGGUAA